UCGGCUUGGUCCUGACGCUUUGAUUGUUAUAAGAUAGCAAGAUUCGGUUGCUCAACCUCCCCCAGAUUUGCCUGGCUCACAGGGAGAAACUGCGUUUGUUUGCCUUUCUUCAGCCCUUGGGCGGAGCAUUUCCUCGCCAUUGCUUGAUCGCUGUUGAUUUGGCCGACACCACCCCCAGGGAUUGGGUACCGAAUUUUCUGAUGUAUGGCGGAGGUGAUGGCAUUGAUCUUGCCAAUCCAUGGUUUGCCCAAGAUGCCGUUGUAGGGUGAGACCUCAUUAAUGACCAUGAAUGUUUGCAAACUGAUCACAGG
rnacentral:lncRNA from 1 species